AGUUGAUAUGGCUCAGAUGAACGCUGGCGGCGUGCUAACACAUGCAAGUCGCGCGUGAAAGGACUUCGGUCCGAGUAAAGCGGCGCACGGGUGAGUAACGCGUGGAUGAUCUACCCAUGAGUUAGGAAUAACGGCUGGAAACGGUCGCUAAUACCAAAUACGCUCCGAUUUCAACUUCGGGGGAAAGGUGGCCUCUGCUUGCAAGCUACUGCUCAUGGAUGAGUCCGCGUCCCAUUAGCUAGUUGGUGGGGUAACGGCCCACCAAGGCGACGAUGGGUAGCCGGUCUGAGAGGAUGACCGGCCACACUGGGACUGGAACACGGCCCAGACUCCUACGGGAGGCAGCAGUGGGGAAUAUUGCGCAAUGGGCGAAAGCCUGACGCAGCGACGCCGCGUGAGGGGAAUGAAGGUCCUCGGAUCGUAAACCUCUGUCAGGAGGGAAGAACCGCCACGGUGCUAAUCAGCCGUGGUCUGACGGUACCUCCAAAGGAAGCACCGGCUAACUCCGUGCCAGCCGCCGC
rnacentral:rRNA from 1 species